rfam:Prevotella sp. CAG:485 genomic scaffold, scf126
GGGGAUGACUGGUUUUGACAGCGUGUAGAAGCGGCAAGCAAGCAUGCAGAGCGCCGAUGUUGACGCUCUUAAAUAUCUCGACAUCGACCUAUAACUGGCGAAAAUAACAAUUACGCUCUCGCUGCUUGAUCUGAAGUACAGUAAGAUCGCUUAAUCCGCGCCACAGGUGGCGCAGACGAGACAUUGCCCGAUUGCCCCGUUGCGAGGCGUUUCGAUAAGGCAGUGCUAAGAAAAUCGCAAAUAGGGAAACCGAAGCUCCGGCCUUUUCCCGAAACUUAGGAGCUAAGCCGCAGGUUGGCCGCCACCAGCCUGUCUGCGGUCGAAAACCAACUGGAUGGCUAAGCAUGUAGAAACCUUGUUGAGUCCGCGUUUGGACGAGGGUUCGACUCCCUCCAUCUCCACUU